rnacentral:lncRNA from 1 species
UGGCGAAUGUCUCUUGAAUGUCUGUUGAAUGUGCGAAUAUAAAACCAACUUUACCUCGGUCUGUAUUGCUAGCAAAUGAGCUAGAAAGUUGUAAACAUUCGUGAACGCAAACCAACAUUCUAGCUAGCUAGCAACAAUCGCAGCAGUACUGUAAUGGAUUGCUUCAUGAAUGCUGUCUCCAACGGACCAUGGAGGAGAAAACAACACUGUCUGCUUGUUGAAUACUACUUCUACAAACGAGGCUACACUUGUGGCAGCACCUAUUCCUGUGCCCCCACAUCUUCUGCACCACUUCUUGUGGCCCCCUCCACCUAUACCACUUCCUGUGGCCUCCCCUCCACCAUUCCCUGAGGCUUAUCGUCCACCUUCACCACACUCUUUUGUUGAUGUUGGUGAUGACAAUGAGACGCUGACGGAAAAGGGGCAGCUGAUGAGGGUGGUCCAUCGAGAAUCUCUCCGGCUGCUAAUGAGUGCCAUCCAUUCCUCUGGAGUCUUUGAGGGACCUGAUUGGCAAAAAUGCCUUUCUUGCAACUCUCAAGCACUCUAUGAUGGCGUAUACAAACAGGUGGGCCCCAUGACUGCUGUCUGUCUGGUACAUGGGGGUGUAGAGACACAUUUUUUCAGAGAGGCUAUACAGGCAAGUGUGUGGCCUACAACCUCCUGUGCCAGAACUGAAAGAAAUUGCGGAAUAUGACUUCAGAGAGAAGUUGGAGAAGGUAAGUAACUUUAUACUGUGAUGGAUGUUGUUACUGUUAAUUAGCACUAAGUUUGAAAAAAAAUUGGCUUGUAGUUCAUGAAUACUUUUCCACAUGGAUUUGGUUUCCUUUUGUUGGCAGUCAAUCUUUUUUAAGGGUAGUGAUAAUCAGUUUAUUGUUUUGCUAAUUUGUCCCAAAACACAGUUCAAUAAACAAUUUAAGAUCCAGUAUGCACAAACCAUUGAUGAGGCACUGGAAGCGGUCAUGUUGGGUCCAGUGUGAUUCAUUCGUACAUUGAAGAGGGAUGUCCUGGUGGAGUCAGCCACAAAGUUUUACGGGAUGCUCUUGAGUAGUGAGUUUCCAUAUAUCUAAGGAAUCUCAAGUUUAGUUAAAUUCUUCAGGGCAAAUUCAUUGACUUUUUUUACUUUAUAGAUUCAAAAAGGGUCUGGAGUAUCUAGGUUUCCUGCCUUACAUGAAUAGACACUCAAGCUUCUUCAGAGAGGUUUUCAUCUAAGCUGAGAAAUCUCUUUUGGCCAAAGACAUAGCUUCUCUCUUCAAAGCAGAGCGCUCCCCACCUGGUACCAAUCAAAGAGCGAUCGAGAGAAGAGUCAUGUUUCUGGAGGGACUGGCUUCUGGAGGUGGAAGGGGGGAACACAUACCCUUUAACCAUGGAGGUUUUCAUUUUCACUUCGGGGGCUUCAGCAUUCCUAGGCUGGGAUUGCCAGUGGAGCCACAGCUACAGUUCUCUCUGCUACCACACGGCAAGCAGGACCGGAGUGCCAAGUCUAGGUCCAAGAGGCUUCUAAACAGAUUCUAACCCCAAGCCAUAAGACUACUGAACAUCUAAUUAAAUGGCUACCCAGACUAUUUGUUGCUACUCUAUCUAUGCGUAGUCACUUUAAUAUCUCUACCUACAUGUAUUUAUUAACUUGACUAACCGGCGCCCCCGCACAUUCUCUGUACCGGUAUCCCCUGUAUAUAGCCUCGCUACUAUUUUACUGAAUGCUCUUUAAUUAUUGACUUAUCUUUUUUUUUUUGUACCGCAUUGUUGGUUAAGGGCUUGUAAGUAAGCAUUUCACUGUAAGGUCUACACCUUGUAUUUGGCGCAUGUGACAAAUACAAUUUUAUUUGAUUUAAAUAAUUAAUUUAAAAGGGAAUUAUACAAAACGUUUAUUGCAUGACUACCUAGUAAGUUCGGAAUACUGCAGCCAAUGUUAAUUGGUGAUGGGUCCCAAAAUAAUUGAUAUUAAAGUUUCCGACAGGAUUGUCCAUCAGCAAAAUAAAGUUGUGUAGUGAAAGUUUUCAAAAACAUUACAACCAACCAGAAUCAAUUGGACACAGUAAUACAUAAUGCAGCUUUAAUAUUUUAAUACAUGUAUGAUUUCUUAGUGGGUAAACUGAGCAUUAUGCAAAGUAGUUAAGUCAUGUAUGUCAAGGGACUAUGUUACCAUAAAUAAAUCUUCCAGUAAAUAUGGACAUUUCAUUUACAUGUGUAAUGGCAAAAGACACUGUAGUUGGUACAUAGGUCAUGGUGCAGCAAGUUUAAGGGUAGUGGAGAAGCACAAGUGGGACUUUGAUUGAAGUAACUGAGGGCAGAAAAGGAUAUCAGGGUGCCCAGGAACUUGAAGCUGCUGAUCAUCUCCAUGUCAAUGUACAGUACAUCUACUGUACAUUGACAUGGAGAUGACAUGGAGAUAUCCUUUUCUGCUUUUCUGGAGAAUGGUCAAGUAUCACCAGCUACUUUGUUUUGUUUACGCUGAGACUGUUGACGUAUCACCAUUAUGUCAGGUCCCACAGCUCCUUCAUGUACUUAUGUGUACCAUGGUAGUGUCGGGUCCAUUCUGGGGAUACACAUUCUCAUGAUAAUGUAAAAAAAUCUAAAUUUGUUAUUACAGAAUUUACACCCAGAACCCUGAGUCUGCUAACCAGUUUCUAGGUCAGGAUGGCGUUGAAAGCAGAGCUAUAAAAUAAAAUGCACUCUGACGUAUGUAAAAAUGUAUAAUUGACAUUUGUUGUGACAAUAGGCAAACUGGAGUUGUACAUUGUGCUACACAAUCUAUUGUUCUAGGUUUUUAAAAUCGAUAUCAACUGGGCUGCAGUGGAAAUGGUAAGAAACUUCGAUAUCAUGGGGCCCUAUCUUCUAACUUCCUUUCCUGGUACAGACACUGCCGUCAAAUGCCAACCAGAGGCUCUCCGUCCUACGGUGGCUGAAGACGUUUUGCCUGACGUCAAACAUUAACAAGAGUGUCAGAUUAAAGUGUCUGGAAAAAAUGUAAAGAGCACAUUACUUUUGUCAUCUUUACUGGCACAGUUUUAAAAUGUCUAAUUGUAGUCACUUUCAAUUGAUUUAUUGACUCCAAGAACCAUAGAUUGUUUGUAGUUCAUAACAUUAACACAACUGACAAACACUGCUUGACUGUAUUUGGGAUGCAUGUUUUAAUAACAUUGGCUAUUUGAUUGGGCUUAACGUUGCAUACCUUGUCAUGUUGUGCAUGCAUGCCAACCAGGUGAGAAUCACCUGAAUUAAAUGAUACUUGAUGAAUCAGGUCUUCAGCCUCCCCCUUGCCCACUCCAAACUCCCCUUCAAUGUUCCCUUCUGCAAGACACAAUUGUGUGAAAAUAAAGCAGAAGGAAUGGGAACCCUAUUCCUUUGAAGAAGUACUGGGUAUAUGCCUGAAGUUAUUUUACCCAAAUAAGCUUCGAUGGAAUAUAAAUAUUCAAAAAGUGAACGUGCACAUUAAAGUCUACUCUGUUCGAAAGCUGACAUGUAACGUUAGCAAAGGUUUUACAAGGUUGUCACUAGCCAAAAUUGCUAUAUGUGAGCUUUUCUGUGUUCAUGCUAAUACCGAGCUAGCGCAGCUAACGCUAGCAUUUAAACGAAAGCCAGUCAGGCUGAAGAAGUUGCCUACCUUAAGUUGUUGUUUUGCUUAAAUACAAGGCUUUGGGCUAAAAACGUAACUCAAAAACAUGUCCUGCUUCAGUACUAGCCGAUAAGUCACAUUUAGGUAGCUUGUCUUAACAUUUACAUUUAAGUCAUUUAGCAGAUGCUCUUAUCCAG